rnacentral:lncRNA from 1 species
CCAGAGAGGGCACAUGUGCCUCAAUUGGCCUAUAGCAUAGCGACUCAUUAUCCUUCCACCGCUGGUGGCGGGCGGUACUCGCUGCUCUGUGAAGCCAACCUCACGCAAUGUCCGCCACUUUAGGUGUUGGGAUGCAAAGGCUUUCGCCAAGGCAUCCGAAACCCACUACACAACUUGGAAUGGGUGGUCCACAGUUUGUAGCACUAGACCCAGGCACAUGCACCACAAUUAACAUUCACACUACCUUAUUGCCCCCGCUCGGGUUACAAGCAAUCGCUACUUGCUCAGCGAGUGAGGGGGUUCAAGACUACCUAUUUAAGGUGGUGUUGUACUGUAUGAGCCGGCGGUGUGGUAUUUACCAACUACAAAUAGUGUCAUGCAUGUGACUUGCUAGUUGACAAUGUCUGUUGUCGAGCUAGAUGUGGGCUAUGGAUGAAGCACAUUAGGAUAUAGUAGGCCUAUUUUGUUUUUUGUUGUUUUUGGGACACUAUGGACUUUAUGUUGAUGUUGUGAAAUUUUUUCUUGUGUUUCCUUUUCCUACGAUGUGGAAAGUGGGUGCGUCAGAGAAGAAAGAAAGAGUGGCUAGCAUUGAUUUUACGUCAUACCGUUGAGAACACUAAUCAGAAGCAGAAGCAACAAUAUUUCAUACAUAUACAACACUUGUAAUCCAUAUAAACAACUUUCCUUUAAAAUAUAAGAUAAACCACAUGAUUUAUAUCCUGGGUCGGCUAUCUCCACAAAGGGCAAGAAAACGCUCCAAGUUUGUAGUAUAGAACUAAAAGUGUCGAUUCUCACGAUUUCUUCCCGACAUAUACAAACUAGACAGUAAUCACAUAAAAUAAAGAAAUAUGUGUUAACAAGAACUUAUACCAUGUAUUUCAACAUAUAGAUUGUUGAUUAUUAUGGUAGAUUAUAUAAAAUAGGGGUUCCCGAAGCAAUACAUAAAAACAAGAGCAUUAAAAUUUCCUUUUCAGAUUUGGCUAUCUGGUAAAAGGAGUUGGAGUAACUGAGUUUCCAAAUUUGUGCCGUAGCUCUAUAGAAGGAAUAUAAAUACGUUGGAAAAAUUCUAUAAGGAAAGGUUUAAUACAAGUAGGGCUAAGAAAAACUCAAUGAGGCUUUGGUCGCAUGGUCACAAAACUUGAGACAAGAAACACGAAGACACCAAGGUAAUUAGUAUGAGAGUUUUCCAAAUUUGGUGUCUUGAUGUAGAAAAAUAAAUAUAUGAAAAACUUGUUUUUUCGCAAGGCAUGGAUAAAUAAGUGGGGGUGAGCAAUAAAUUUCAUCCUUGAUUUAGAAGGAAUAAAUAUAUCACUAAAUACGUUUUUUCACAAUGCCAAGUUAAUCAGGUGGGACCGAGAAACAAUUCUAGCGAGGCUAGGUUGUACUAGCCCAAAACUACAUACUACAGAGGAAAAAUGAAGAAAAUGAUGGUCUACCAAAUAUGGCGCAUGAGCCUUAAGGUGCACCUAGAGGGAAGUAGAAGAAAUAAAUAUAUAAUAGCAUAUGUUUUUCGCAAUGCAAGGUAAAGUGUAGAUGUGCUCUAACUAGGCUUAGAUUGCAGCGACACAUUAUGCAUCUACAAGGCUUGGUUGCACAUGGAAAAAGAUAGAGAGAGAAAUGUAGACGCAGGACCGAGAGAAAAACAUUCAAUGAGACGUGAUUGCACGGACAUAGAACUAGAUAUAAGACAAGAGUUAAAGAAAAAUAAAGGAACUAAAUUUUCUUCUGCACACUAAGCAUGAAUGGAGUUGUAGUAUCUGAGAUCAAAAUUUAAUUUAUUCCAAGAUGCAGAACAAAAACGUGAUACUCGUAAUGGUUACAUAGGAACAAAAGUAGAUAAGAAAAAUAGCAAAAAGAUAGUGGUCUACCAGAGAGGGCACAUGUGCCUCAAUUGGCCUAUAGCAUAGCGACUCAUUAUCCUUCCACCGCUGGUGGCGGGCGGUACUCGCUGCUCUGUGAAGCCAGCCUCACGCAAUGUCCGCCACUUUAGGUGUUGGGAUGCAAAGGCUUUCGCCAAGGCAUCCGAAACCCACUACACAACUUGGAAUGGGUGUUCCACAAUUUGUAGCACUAGACCCAGGCACAUGCACCACAAUUGACAUCCACACUACCUUAUUGCCUCCGCUCGGGUUACAAGCAAUCGCUACUUGCUCAGCGAGUGAGGGGGUUCAAGACUACCUAUUUGAGGUGGUGUUGUACUCUAUGAGCCGGCGGUGUGGUAUUUACCAACUACAAAUAGUGUCAUGCAUGUGACUUGCUAGUUGACAAUGUCUGUUGUCGAGCUAGAUGUGGGCUAUGGAUGAAGCACAUUAGGAUAUAGUAGGCCUAUUUUGUUUUUUGUUGUUUUUGGGCCACUAUGGACUUUAUGUUGAUGUUGUGAAAUUUUUUCUUGUGUUUCCUCUUCAUACGAUGUGGAAAGUGGGUGCCGUCAGAGAAGAAAGAAAGAGCGGCUAGCAUUGAUUUUACGUCAUACCAUUGAGAACACUAAUUAGAAGCAGAAGCAACAAUAUUUCAUACAUAUACAACACUUGUAAUCCAUAUAAACAACAUUCCUUUAAAAUAUAAUAUAAACCACAUGAUUUAUAUCCUGGGUCAGCUAUCUCCACAAAGGGCAAGAAAACGCUCCAAGUUUGUAGUAUAGAACUAAAAGUGUCGAUUCUCACGAUUUCUUCCCGACAUAUACAAACUAGACAGUAAUCACAUAAAAUAAAGAAAUAUGUGUUAACACGAACUUAUAACAUGUAUUUCAACAUAUAGAUUGUUGAUUAUUAUGGUAGAUUAUAUAAAAUAGGGGUUCCCGAAGAAAUACAUAAAAACAAGAGCAUUAAAAUUUCCUUUUCAGAUCUGGCUAUCUGGUAAAAGGAGUUGGAGUAACUGAGUUUCCAAAUUUGUGACGUAGCUCUAUAGAAGGAAUAUAAAUACGUUGGAAAAAUUCUACAAGGAAAGGUUUAAUACAAGUAGGGCUAAGAAAAACUCAAUGAGGCUUUGGUCGCAUGGUCACAAAACUUGAGACAAGAAACACGAAGACACCAAGGUAAUUAGUAUGAGAGUUUUCCAAAUUUGGUGUCUUGAUGUAGAAAAAAUAAAUAUAUGACAAACUUGUUUUUUCGCAAGGCAUGGAUAAAUAAGUGGGGGCGAGCAAUAAAUUUCAUCCUAGAUUUAGAAGGAAUAAAUAUAUCACUAAAUACGUUUUUUCAUAAUGCCAAGUUAAUCAGGUGGGAGCGAGAAACAAUUCUAGCGAGGUUAGGUUGUACUAGCCCAAAACUACAUACAACAGAGGAAAAAUGAAGAAAAUGAUGGUCUACCAAAUAUGGCGCAUGAGCCUUAAGGUGCACGUAGAGGGAAGUAUAAGAAAUAAAUAUAUAAUAGCAUAUGUUUUUCGCAAUGCAAGGUAAAGUGUAGAUGUGCUCUAACUGGGCUUAGAUUGCAGCGACACAUUAUGCAUCUACAAGGCUUGGUUGCACAUGGAAAAAGAUAGAGAGAGAAAUGUAGACACAGGACCGGGAGAAAAACAUUCAAUGAGACAUGAUUGCACGGACAUAGAACUAGAUAUAAGACAAGAGUUAAAGAAAAAUAAAGGAACUAAAUUUUCUUCUACACACUCAGCAUGAAUGGAGUUGUAGUAUCUGAGAUCAAAAUUUAAUUUAUUCCAAGAUGCAGAACAAAAACGUGAUACUCGUAAUGGUUACAUAGGAACAAAAGUAGAUAAGAAAAAUAGCAAAAAGAUAGUGGUCUACCAGAGAGGGCACAUGUGCCUCAAUUGGCCUAUAGCAUAGCGACUCAUUAUCCUUCCACCGCUGGUGGCGGGCGGUACUCGCUGCUCUGUGAAGCCAGCCUCACGCAAUGUCCGCCACUUUAGGUGUUGGGAUGCAAAGGCUUUCGCCAAGGCAUCCGAAACCCACUACACAACUUGGAAUGGGUGUUCCACAGUUUGUAGCACUAGACCAUGGCACAUGCACCACAAUUGACAUCCACACUACCUUAUUGCCCCCGCUCGGGUUACAAGCAAUCACUACUUGCUCAUCAAGUGAGGGGGUUCAAGACUACCUAUUUAAGGUGGUGUUGUACUCUAUGAGCCGACGGUGUGGUAUUUACCAACUACAAAUAGUGUCAUGCAUGUGACUUGCUAGUUGACAAUGUCUGUUGUCGAGCUAGAUGUGGGCUAUGGAUGAAGCACAUUAGGAUAUAGUAGGCCUAUUUUGUUUUUUGUUGUUUUUGGGCCACUAUGGACUUUAUGUUGACGUUGUGAAAUUUUUUCUUGUGUUUCCUCUUCCUACGAUGUGGAAAGUGGGUGCCGUCAGAGAAGAAAGAAAGAGUGGCUAGCAUUGAUUUUACGUCAUACCAUUGAGAACACUAAUCAGAAGCAGAAGCAACAAUAUUUCAUACAUAUACAACACUUGUAAUCCAUAUAAACAACUUUCCUUUAAAAUAUAAUAUAAACCACAUGAUUUAUAUCCUGGGUCGGCUAUCUCCACAAAGGGCAAGAAAACGCUCCAAGUUUGUAGUAUAGAACUAAAAGUGUCGAUUCUCACGAUUUCUUCCCGACAUAUACAAACUAGACAGUAAUCACAUAAAAUAAAGAAAUAUGUGUUAACACGAACAUAUAGCAUGUAUUUCAACAUAUAGAUUGUUGAUUAUUAUGGUAGAUUAUAUAAAAUAGGGGUUCCCGAAGAAAUACAUAAAAACAAGAGCAUUGAAAUUUCCUUUUCAGAUCUGGCUAUCUGGUAAAAGGAGUUGGAGUAACUGAGUUUCCAAAUUUGUGACGUAGCUCUAUAGAAGGAAUAUAAAUACGUUGGAAAAAUUCUACAAGGAAAGGUUUAAUACAAGUAGGGCUAAGAAAAACUCAAUGAGGCUUUGGUCGCAUGGUCACAAAACUUGAGACAAGAAACACGAAGACACCAAGGUAAUUAGUAUGAGAGUUUUCCAAAUUUGGUGUCUUGAUGUAGAAAAAAUAAAUAUAUGACAAACUUGUUUUUUCGCAAGGCAUGGAUAAAUAAGUGGGGGCGAGCAAUAAAUUUCAUCCUAGAUUUAGAAGGAAUAAAUAUAUCACUAAAUACGUUUUUUCAUAAUGCCAAGUUAAUCAGGUGGGAGCGAGAAACAAUUCUAGCGAGGCUAGGUUGUACUAGCCCAAAACUACAUACAACAGAGGAAAAAUGAAGAAAAUGAUGGUCUACCAAAUAUGGCGCAUGAGCCUUAAGGUGCACCUAGAGGGAAGUAGAAGAAAUAAAUAUAUAAUAGCAUAUGUUUUUCGCAAUGCAAGGUAAAGUGUAGAUGUGCUCUAACUGGGCUUAGAUUGCAGCGACACAUUAUGCAUCUACAAGGCUUGGUUGCACAUGGAAAAAGAUAGAGAGAGAAAUGUAGACACAGGACCGGGAGAAAAACAUUCAAUGAGACAUGAUUGCACGGACAUAGAACUAGAUAUAAGACAAGAGUUAAAGAAAAAUAAAGGAACUAAAUUUUCUUCUGCACACUCAGCAUGAAUGGAGUUGUAGUAUCUGAGAUCAAAAUUUAAUUUAUUCCAAGAUGCAGAACAAAAACGUGAUACUCGUAAUGGUUACAUAGGAACAAAAGUAGAUAAGAAAAAUAGCAAAAAGAUAGUGGUCUACCAGAGAGGGCACAUGUGCCUCAAUUGGCCUAUAGCAUAGCGACUCAUUAUCCUUCCACCGCUGGUGGCGGGCGGUACUCGCUGCUCUGUGAAGCCAGCCUCACGCAAUGUCCGCCACUUUAGGUGUUGGGAUGCAAAGGCUUUCGCCAAGGCAUCCGAAACCCACUACACAACUUGGAAUGGGUGGUCCAAAGUUUGUAGCACUAGACCCAGGCACAUGCACCACAAUUGACAUCCACACUACCUUAUUGCCCCCGCUCGGGUUACAAGCAAUCGCUACUUGCUCAGCGAGUGAGGGGGUUCAACACUACCUAUUUAAGGUGGUGUUGUACUCUAUAAGCCGGCGGUGUGGUAUUUACCAACUACAAAUAGUGUCAUGCAUGUGACUUGCUAGUUGACAAUGUCUGUUGUCGAGCUAGAUGUGGGCUAUGGAUGAAGCACAUUAUGAUAUAGUAGGCCUAUUUUGUUUUUUGUUGUUUUUGGGCCACUAUGGACUUUAUGUUGAUGUUGUGAAAUUUUUUCUUGUGUUUCCUCUUCCUACGAUGUGUAAAGUGGGUGUGUUAGAGAAGAAAGAAAGAGUGGCUAGCAUUGAUUUUACGUCAUACCAUUGAGAACACUAAUCAGAAGCAGAAGCAACAAUAUUUCAUACAUAUACAACACUUGUAAUCCAUAUAAACAACUUUCCUUUAAAAUAUAAUAUAAACCACAUGAUUUAUAUCCUGGGUCGGCUAUCUCCACAAAGGGCAAGAAAACGCUCCAAGUUUGUAGUAUAGAACUAAAAGUGUCGAUUCUCACGAUUUCUUCCCGACAUAUACAAACUAGACAGUAAUCACAUAAAAUAAAGAAAUAUGUGUUAACACGAACUUAUAGCAUGUAUUUCAACAUAUAGAUUGUUGAUUAUUAUGGUAGAUUAUAUAAAAUAGGGGUUCCCAAAGAAAUACAUAAAACAAGAGCAUUAAAAUUUCCUUUUCAGAUCUGGCUAUCUGGUAAAAGGAGUUGGAGUAACUGAGUUUCCAAAUUUGUGACGUAGCUCUAUAGAAGGAAUAUAAAUACGUUGGAAAAAUUCUACAAGGAAAGGUUUAAUACAAGUAGGGCUAAGAAAAACUCAAUGAGGCUUUGGUCGCAUGGUCACAAAACUUGAGACAAGAAACACGAAGACACAAAGGUAAUUAGUAUGAGAGUUUUCCAAAUUUGGUGUCUUGAUGUAGAAAAAAUAAAUAUAUGACAAACUUGUUUUUUCGCAAGGCAUGGAUAAAUAAGUGGGGGUGAGCAAUAAAUUUCAACCUAGAUUUAGAAGGAAUAAAUAUAUCACUAAAUACAUUUUUUACAAUGCCAAGUUAAUCAGGUAGGAGCGAGAAACAAUUCUAGCGAGGCUAGGUUGUACUAGCCCAAAACUACAUACAAAAGAGGAAAAAUGAAGAAAAUGAUGGUCUACCAAAUAUGGCACAUGAGCCUUAAGGUGCACCUAGAGGGAAGUAGAAGAAUAAAUAUAUAAUAGCAUAUGUUUUUCGCAAUGCAAGGUAAAGUGUAGAUGUGCUCUAACUGGGCUUAGAUUGCAGCGACACAUUAUGCAUCUACAAGGCUUGGUUGCACAUGGAAAAAGAUAGAGAGAGAAAUGUAGACGCAGGACCGGGAGAAAAACAUUCAAUGAGACGUGAUUGCACGGACAUAGAACUAGAUAUAAGACAAGAGUUAAAGAAAAAAGGAACUAAAUUUUCUUGUGCACACUAAGCAUGAAUGGAGUUGUAGUAUCUGAGAUCAAAAUUUAAUUUAUUCCAAGAUGCAGAACAAAAACGUGAUACUCGUAAUGGUUACAUAGGAACAAAAGUAGAUAAGAAAAAUAGCAAAAAGAUAUUGGUCUACCAGAGAGGGCACAUGUGCCUCAAUUGGCCUAUAGCAUAGUGGCUCAUUAUCCUUCAACCGCUGGUGGCGGGCGGUACUCGCUGCUCUGUGAAGCCAGCCUCACGCAAUGUCCGCCACUUUAGGUGUUGGGAUGCAAAGGCUUUCGCCAAGGCAUCCGAAACCCACUACACAACUUGGAAUGGGUGGUCCACAGUUUGUAGCACUAGACCCAGGCACAUGCACCACAAUUGACAUUCACACUACCUUAUUGCCCCCGCUCGGGUUACAAGCAAUCGCUACUUGCUCAGCGAGUGAGGGGGGUUCAAGACUACCUAUUUAAGGUGGUGUUGUACUGUAUGAGCCGGCGGUGUGGUAUUUACCAACUACAAAUAGUGUCAUGCAUGUGACUUGCUAGUUGACAAUGUCUGUUGUGGAGCUAGAUGUGGGCUAUGGAUGAAGCACAUUAGGAUAUAGUAGGCCUAUUUUGUUUUUUGUUAUUUUUGGGCCACUAUGGACUUUAUGUUGAUGUUGUGAAUUUUUUUCUUGUGUUUCCUCUUCCUACGAUGUGGAAAGUGGGUGCGUCAGAGAAGAAAGAAAGAGUGGCUAGCAUUGAUUUUACGUCAUACCAUUGAGAACACUAAUCAGAAGCAGAAGCAACAAUAUUUCAUACAUAUACAACACUUGUAAUCCAUAUAAACAACUUUCCUUUCAAAUAUAAUAUAAACCACAUGAUUUAUAUCCUGGGUCGGCUAUCUCCACAAAGGGCAAGAAAACGCUCCAAGUUUGUAGUAUAGAACUAAAAGUGUCGACUCUCACGAUUUCUUCCCGACAUAUGCAAACUAGACAGUAAUCACAUAAAAUAAAGAAAUAUGUGUUAACACAAACUUAUAACAUGUAUUUCAACAUAUAGAUUUUUGAUUAUUAUGGUAGAUUAUAUAAUAUAGGGGUUCCCGAAGAAAUACAUAAAAAACAAGAGCAUUAAAAUUUCCUUUUCAGAUCUGGCUAACUGGUAAAGGGAGUUGGAGUAUCUGUGUUUCCAAAUUUGGGACGUCGCUCUAUAGAAGGAAUAUAAAUACAUUGGAAAAAAAUUCUACAAGGAAAGGUUUAAUACAAGUAGGGCUAAGAAAAACUCAAUGAGGCUUUGGUCGCAUGGUCACAAAACUUGAGACAAGAAACACGAAGACACCAAGGUAAUUAGUAUGAGAGUUUUCCAAAUUUGGUGUCUUGAUGUAGAAAAAAUAAAUAUAUGACAAACUUGUUUUUUCGCAAGGCAUGGAUAAAUAAGUGGGGGUGAGCAAUAAAUUUCAUCCUAGAUUUAGAAGGAAUAAAUAUAUCACUAAAUACGUUUUUUCAUAAUGCCAAGUUAAUCAGGUGGGAGCGAGAAACAAUUCUAGCGAGGCUAGGUUGUACUAGCCCAAAACUACAUACAACAGAGGAAAAAUGAAGAAAAUGAUGGUCUACCAAAUAUGGCGCAUGAGCCUUAAGGUGCACCUAGAGGGAAGUAGAAGAAAUAAAUAUAUAAUAGCAUAUGUUUUUCUCAAUGCAAGGUAAAGUGUAGAUGUGCUCUAACUGGGCUUAGAUUGCAGCGACACAUUAUGCAUCUACAAGGCUUGGUUGCACAUGGAAAAAGAUAGAGAGAGAAAUGUAGACACAGGACGGGGAGAAAAACAUUCAAUGAGACAUGAUUGCACGGACAUAGAACUAGAUAUAAGACAAGAGUUAAAGAAAAAUAAAGGAACUAAAUUUUCUUCUGCACACUCAGCAUGAAUGGAGUUGUAGUAUCUGAGAUCAAAAUUUAAUUUAUUCCAAGAUGCAGAACAAAAACGUGAUACUCGUAAUGGUUACAUAGGAACAAAAGUAGAUAAGAAAAAUAGCAAAAAGAUAGUGGUCUACCAGAGAGGGCACAUGUGCCUCAAUUGGCCUAUAGCAUAGCGACUCAUUAUCCUUCCACCGCUGGUGGCGGGCGGUACUCGCUGCUCUGUGAAGCCAGCCUCACGCAAUGUCCGCCACUUUAGGUGUUGGGAUGCAAAGGCUUUCGCCAAGGCAUCCGAAACCCACUACACAACUUGGAAUGGGUGGUCCACAGUUUGUAGCACUAGACCCAGGCACAUGCACCACAAUUGACAUCCACACUACCUUAUUGCCCCCGCUCGGGUUACAAGCAAUCGCUACUUGCUCAGCGAGUGAGGGGGUUCAAGACUACCUAUUUAAGGUGGUGUUGUACUCUAUAAGCCGGCGGUGUGGUAUUUACCAACUACAAAUAGUGUCAUGCAUGUGACUUGCUAGUUGACAAUGUCUGUUGUCGAGCUAGAUGUGGGCUACGGAUGAAGCACAUUAUGAUAUAGUAGGCCUAUUUUGUUUUUUGUUGUUUUUGGGCCACUAUGGACUUUAUGUUGAUGUUGUGAAAUUUUUUCUUGUGUUUCCUCUUCCUACGAUGUGGAAAGUGGGUGUGUUAGAGAAGAAAGAAAGAGUGGCUAGCAUUGAUUUUACGUCAUACCAUUGAGAACACUAAUCAGAAGCAGAAGCAACAAUAUUUCAUACAUAUACAACACUUGUAAUCCAUAUAAACAACUUUCCUUUAAAAUAUAAUAUAAACCACAUGAUUUAUAUCCUGGGUCGGCUAUCUCCACAAAGGGCAAGAAAACGCUCCAAGUUUGUAGUAUAGAACUAAAAGUGUCGAUUCUCACGAUUUCUUCCCGACAUAUACAAACUAGACAGUAAUCACAUAAAAUAAAGAAAUAUGUGUUAACACAAACUUAUAGCAUGUAUUUCAACAUAUAGAUUGUUGAUUAUUAUGGUAGAUUAUAUAAAAUAGAGGUUCCCGAAGAAAUACAUAAAAACAAGAGCAUUAAAAUUUCCAUUUCAGAUCUGGCUAUCUGGUAAAAGGAGUUGGAGUAACUGAGUUUCCAAAUUUGUGACGUAGCUCUAUAGAAGGAAUAUAAAUACGUUGGAAAAAUUCUACAAGGAAAGGUUUAAUACAAGUAGGGCUAAGAAAAACUCAAUGAGGCUUUGGUCGCAUGGUCACAAAACUUGAGACAAGAAACACGAAGACACCAAGGUAAUUAGUAUGAGAGUUUUCCAAAUUUGGUGUCUUGAUGUAGAAAAAAUAAAUAUAUGACAAACUUGUUUUUUCGCAAGGCAUGGAUAAAUAAGUGGGGGCGAGCAAUAAAUUUCAUCCUAGAUUUAGAAGGAAUAAAUAUAUCACUAAAUACGUUUUUUCAUAAUGCCAAGUUCAUCAGGUGGGAGCGAGAAACAAUUCUAGCGAGGUUAGGUUGUACUAGCCCAAAACUACAUACAACAGAGGAAAAAUGAAGAAAAUGAUGGUCUACCAAAUAUGGCGCAUGGGCCUUAAGGUGCACCUAGAGGGAAGUAUAAGAAAUAAAUAUAUAAUAGCCUAUGUUUUUCGCAAUGCAAGGUAAAGUGUAGAUGUGCUCUAACUGGGCUUAGAUUGCAGCGACACAUUAUGCAUCUACAAGGCUUGGUUGCACAUGGAAAAAGAUAGAGAGAGAAAUGUAGACACAGGACGGGGAGAAAAACAUUCAAUGAGACAUGAUUGCACGGACAUAGAACUAGAUAUAAGACAAGAGUUAAAGAAAAAUAAAGGAACUAAAUUUUCUUCUGCACACUCAGCAUGAAUGGAGUUGUAGUAUCUGAGAUCAAAAUUUAAUUUAUUCCAAGAUGCAGAACAAAAACGUGAUACUCGUAAUGGUUACAUAGGAACAAAAGUAGAUAAGAAAAAUAGCAAAAAGAUAGUGGUCUACCAGAGAGGGCACAUGUGCCUCAAUUGGCCUAUAGCAUAGCGACUCAUUAUCCUUCCACCGCUGGUGGCAGGCGGUACUCGCUGCUCUGUGAAGCCAGCCUCACGCAAUGUCCGCCACUUUAGGUGUUGGGAUGCAAAGGCUUUCGCCAAGGCAUCCGAAACCCACUACGCAACUUGGAAUGGGUGGUCCACAGUUUGUAGCACUAGACCCAGGCACAUGCACCACAAUUGACAUCCACACUACCUU